AAUGACUUGAUAAUAAUUGCUGUAUUUGCGAUUACGCCAUACAUCGAUUUAUGAAUUAGUUUACGUUUAUACGUGCUCCUAGCUAGUACUCAUAUACCUUGGUUAUCAAUAAAUAAAUAUACCGAAAUCAGUGUUUCCAUCAAGAUUGCAAUCUACCAUCAAGAAUCAUAUCAACUCAGAUGUACUAUCC